rnacentral:rRNA from 1 species
ACACGUAAGGGGCAAGCGUUGUUCGGAACUAUUGGGCGUAAAGGGCGCGUAGGCGGUUUUACAAGUCUGGUGUGAAAGACCUCAGCUUAACUGAGGGACCGCGCUGGAAACUGUAAGACUAGAAUCUAGGAGGGGAAGCUGGAAUUCCUGGUGUAGGGGUGAAAUCUGUAGAUAUCAGGAAGAACACCGGUGGCGAAGGCGAGCUUCUGGCCAUAGAUUGACGCUGAGGCGCGAAAGCGUGGGGAGCGAACAGGAUUAGAAACCCUAGUAGUCC